rnacentral:lncRNA from 1 species
CUUUUAGGCAGAAUGUCUGCUUUCCUACCAGGAAGAGUGGCUUGGCCCUCUGCUGAGGCUCUCAGAGGUUCUCCCAGCCUUGGGAUCGCUGAGUAAAACCAGUCAGCACCAUGUCACCCUAUGGAGACUGGCCUCCAUCCCUGGGAUUUGCUGGUAGAAGAAAGGGAAUCAGCGCUGACUGAGCUCCUACUAUGUGCCCUUCCUGGGCCUGGCACUGGAAUCACAGGAUGAAUGAAUAAGGCAUAUUUCCUGCCCUGAGGAGGCGUCUAUAGGGGAAGUCGGAAUUAAGGCACCUCCAGAAUUCUGAGGUCAAGGGAAUGUCAACAGAGCUGUGAACAAAAUGCCCAAAGCCAUGAAAAUCUACAGAGAGAGACUCGAAGGGGAGGAAUGGGGUAGGAGCUGGUGCCGAGGAUGAGAGGGGAGAAUUCACCUGGUGGAGAACUGAUAGGCCAGGCUGAGGUCGGGAUGGUGGAGGAGGUGGUGGAGGUGAUGAGGUACCAGAGCAACCUCGAAGAAAGCUGAGAGGCAGGAGACCGCCAAAGGCAAACUUGGAACACCUGGUGACUCCGACUAACUCUCCAUGUGGUGUCCUUGAGGACUUUUAUGAUACUGCUACCACUGCUAAUAGUAAUAAAAGCCACUAUUUAAUGUG